UCUGUAGAUUUCUAGCUAAGAAGAAAGUCUACAUUCAGCUAGACUUUGGAGUAUCCUGCACAAUCUCGCUGUCAGAAAGCGACUGAAACUGGAUAUGAUCGUGACAGUGAUGAUGAUGAGGAUGAUGUUCAUGUCACUAUCGGAGACAUUAAAACGGGAGCACUACAGUAUGGGAGCAGUGGGACCUCAUGGAGACAACUUGGUAGAAAAGAUUCUAUCAGUGCUCCCGCAGUUUCCCGGCCACACGAGUGAUGGGAUGGUCAGCAUGGCCGGG